GAUCAUGGCUCAGAAUCAACGCUGGCGGCGCGCCUCAGACAUGCAAGUCGAACGAUUAAAGCUCUCUUCGGAGAGUGUAUAGAGUGGCGCACGGGUGAGUAACACGUAAGUAAUCUACCCUCGAGUGGGGAAUAACAACCGGAAACGGUUGCUAAUACCGCAUAAUGCAGCGGCACCGCAAGGUGACAGUUGUUAAAGAUUUAUCGCUUGAGGAGGAGCUUGCGGCAGAUUAGCUAGUUGGUAGGGUAACGGCUUACCAAGGCUACGAUCUGUAACCGGUCUAAGAGGACGGUCGGUCACACUGACACUGAAUAACGGGUCAGACUCCUACGGGAGGCAGCAGUCGGGAAUUUUGGGCAAUGGGCGAAAGCCUGACCCAGCAACGCCGCGUGAAGGAUGAAGUAUUUCGGUAUGUAAACUUCGAAAGAAUAGGAAGAAUUAAUGACGGUACUAUUUAUAAGGUCCGGCUAACUACGUG
rnacentral:rRNA from 1 species